GCACUGCUGAGGAGUCCCAUACUAGGACGAAACGGCGGUCCAGUGC
rfam:Schistosoma mattheei strain Denwood, Zambia genome assembly, scaffold: SMTD_scaffold0013682